CCUUUUCGUUACCUUGGUAUUUCUUCUAUAAUAUAUCCCAUACUUCCUUUGAUUUAGUAGCACCGGCAAUGUGAGAAAAUAUAGAAUCGUCAACUGAUUGCUGAAUAAAGAAAAGUGCCUUUGCAUCUUUUUUCAGAUUCUCUCCAGUUGUUUCCUUGCAUCCGUUUUCGACAAAAUCCCAUAAAUCUUGAGAUCGCAGCAACGUUCGCAUCUUCACACACCAAAAAUCAUAAUUGUCCCCCUUGAAUAUCGGGAAUCCUUGUGCAACUCCAUUAGCGCUGUUAAACGCCAUCAACACCUUCUUCUCUCAAAAUCCAGGCUCUGAUACCACUUGUUACGGCGGUGGGCCACCAACAAAUACGUUCUAUAUAGUUGUUAUGAUAUAUAGAGAUCCCCACAAAAAGAAAAGACAAGAAAGGAAGAAGACAAAUCAAAGAAUUUGGUACGUUGUCAUGGAAGCAAAAAAAAUAACUUUAUUGAAGAAAAUAAUUCAUCACCGUAUGCAACAUUCGGCGAGCGCUAAUUAAUUAUGGUGACUCCCGGCUUCAUUAACCAAAUAAUCCCGACUUAUCUAUUUAUAACUAAUUACAUAGAAUCCUACUCUGAUUCGAUUUUAUCUUAACCAUCAUUUAAAUAAUAACCGAAUAUAUCUUAACCAUAACCAAAUAUAACAAUGGAUAACAUCAAAUAAUCUAAUCCUAAUCUCAUUAGCAUUAUCUUUACCAAUCACCACC
rnacentral:lncRNA from 1 species